rnacentral:tRNA from 1 species
CGGGGCGUAGCGCAGCCUGGUAGCGCGCCAGUUUUGGGUACUGGAAGUCGCUGGUUCGAAUCCAGUCGCCCCGACCA